AAAAUAUAUAAUGAGUUGACAGUUUGUUGAAGCGCAAAGUUUGUAAUAAGUGGUGGUCUGUUGGACCUCUCAAGAGCUAAUCUAGCUUUGGUAGGAGCAGAAUAAGAGGAUGUAGUGUUGGCUGCUCCUCCUGUUGUUAUAAAUACCUUUUACUAUUUUUUUAUUUUAAAAAUAAUAAGAAAAUAAUGAUCUUUCAAUCUAUUUUUCUAAAAUUUUCUGAGUGCAUUUUCAAAAGAUACAACUUUACCUAAUAUUUCAUUCUAUUUAGGUUUCUAGUUGGAUCUAUAGCUUGUGUAAUUUUUAAUCUUUGUUUGGUUCUCUAGUCUACCAAUAAAGCCUAUUUAGCUUUCUAGCCGAGUCUUUAUCAUAUCUUAUUUACUUGAGCUGUAUUAGUAGUAAAAUUUUAUUAAGUUGCUUAGAGUUCUUG
rnacentral:lncRNA from 1 species